UUUGUUAAAUACUUAAUUAUUUUUAAGUAGAAAUUUUUUAAAACGCAUGUAUAAUAUUUUAAUUCGACACCUAGAACUAUUACAUUAUUUUUCCAAGAGGGCAAUUUUCAUUGGAAUUGGUAUCGUAUUAAAUUCAACACGCAAUAGUAGAUCCACUGUGGAAUGUAACUUACCCUGUGACAGAUGUGUUCGUAUAAUAUAGUAAAACUAAAGAUAUUUGUGCAAUGCCAGGUUGACAAAACAAUACCCUCUCACCUCCUACCAAGGCUAGUAGGUACGCGGAAAAAGACCAAGUAUUGAGUUUUGGGAGCGGUCUUUGUUGCAGCGUACCGUUUUUCAUAAGUUGGCAUAUUGUGCGUGACUGAGAUUUACAUCAAAAUAAUAAAGAACGUCAAAUAACUAGGGAAUGUGCGGCGUUUAAUCACCUCGGUGUGAUCACGUCGUACGAAACCGCAUUCAGCCAACAAACUGAAAUACAAAGGUAUUAAUAUGGAUUACUACACACUAUAUUAUACACAU